GAUGAAGAACGUAGCGAAAUGCGAUAAGUAAUGUGAAUUGCAGAAUUCAGUGAAUCAUCGAAUCUUUGAACGCACAUUGCGCCCGCCAGUAUUCUGGCGGGCAUGCCUGUUCGAGCGUCAUUUCAACCCUCAAGCCCAGCUUGGUGUUGGGGAUCGGCACAGGCGCCCUCGGGCGCCCGCCGUCCCCUAAAUCUAGUGGCGGUCCCGCUGCAGCCUCCUCUGCGUAGUAGUUUUCUCCUCGCAAGGGCAGCUCGGAGGCGACCUCGCCGUAAAACCCCCAACUUCUGAAAGGUUGACCUCGAAUCAGGUAGGAAUACCCGCUGAACUUAAGCAUAUCAAUAAGCGGAGGA
rnacentral:misc_RNA from 1 species